rnacentral:rRNA from 1 species
UGACCUCGGAUCAGGUAGGGAUACCCGCUGAACUUAAGCAUAUCAAUAAGCGGAGGAAAAGAAACCAACAGGGAUUGCCCUAGUAACGGCGAGUGAAGCGGCAUCAGCUCAAAUUUGAAAUCUGGCUCUUUCAGGGUCCGAGUUGUAAUUUGCAGAGGGCGCUUUGGCGUUGGCAGCGGUCCAAGUUCCUUGGAACAGGACGUCACAGAGGGUGAGAAUCCCGUACGUGGUCGCUGGCCUUCGCCGUGUAAAGCCCCUUCGACGAGUCGAGUUGUUUGGGAAUGCAGCUCUAAAUGGGAGGUAAAUUUCUUCUAAAGCUAAAUACUGGCCAGAGACCGAUAGCGCACAAGUAGAGUGAUCGAAAGAUGAAAAGCACUUUGGAAAGAGAGUCAAAUAGCACGUGAAAUUGUUGAAAGGGAAGCGCUUGCAGCCAGACUUGCCUGUAGUUGCUCAUCCGGGCUUUUGCCCGGUGCACUCUUCUGCGGGCAGGCCAGCAUCAGUCUGGGCGGUUGGAUAAAGGCCUCUGUCAUGUACCUUCUCUCGGGAAGGCCUUAUAGGGGAGGCGUAAUGCAACCAGCCUGGACUGAGGUCCGCGCAUCUGCUAGGAUGCUGGCGUAAUGGCUGUAAGCGGCCCGUCUUGAAACACGGACCAAGGAGUCUAACAUCUAUGCGAGUGUUUGGGUGUCAAGCCCGAGCGCGUAAUGAAAGUGAACGGAGGUGGGAUCCCUUAAGGGUGCACCAUCGACCGAUCCUGAUGUCUUCGGAUGGAUUUGAGUAAGAGCAUGGCUGUUGGGACCCGAAAGAUGGUGAACUAUGCUUGAAUAGGGUGAAGCCAGAGGAAACUCUGGUGGAGGCUCGCAGCGGUUCUGACGUGCAAAUCGAUCGUCAAAUUUGGGCAUAGGGGCGAAAGACUAAUCGAACUAUCUAGUAGCUGGUUCCUGCCGAAGUUUCCCUCAGGA